rnacentral:pre_miRNA from 15 species
AGACAAAGCGGUAGUUAUCCUAAAGUUUUUGAUGGGUGAGGGUUUGGUGCAUGUUUUAUUUUAAUCAUGACUAGAUCCACACUCAUCCAAAAAUUUGGUGUCCUCAUCUGGAAAAAUUAC